GUGAGGAAUAUUGGUCAAUGGGCGAGAGCCUGAACCAGCCAAGUCGCGUGAAGGAAGAAGGAUCUAUGGUUCGUAAACUUCUUUUGCAGGGGAAUAAAGUGCAGGACGUGUCCUGUUUUGUAUGUACCCUGAGAAUAAGGAUCGGCUAACUCCGUGCCAGCAGCCGCGGUAAUACGGAGGAUCCGAGCGUUAUCCGGAUUUAUUGGGUUUAAAGGGUGCGUAGGUGGUUUGAUAAGUCAGCGGUGAAAGUUUGCAGCUUAACUGUAAAAAUGCCGUUGAAACUGUCGGACUUGAGUGUAAAAGAGGUAGGCGGAAUGCGUGGUGUAGCGGUGAAAUGCAUAGAUAUCACGCAGAACUCCGAUUGCGAAGGCAGCUUACUAAGCUACAACUGACACUGAAGCACGAAAGCGUGGGGAUCAAACAGGAUUAGAAACCCUAGUAGUCC
rnacentral:rRNA from 1 species